UCUACCCUUUGGCCUGGAAUAACACGAGGAAACUUGUGCUAAUACCGGAUAAGUCUUUACGGAGAAAGCUUUAUGCACCAUUGGAUGAGCCUGCACUUGAUUAGUUUGUUGGUGGGGUAAUGGCCUACCAAGACUGUGAUCAAUAGCUGAUUUGAGAGGAUGAUCAGCCACAUUGGGACUGAGACACGGCCCAAACUCCUACGGGAGGCAGCAGUGGGGAAUCUUGCACAAUGGAGGAAACUCUGAUGCAGCGAUGCCGCGUGAGUGAAGAAGGCCCUUGGGUUGUAAAGCUCUUUCGUCGGGG
rnacentral:rRNA from 1 species